AUGGACAAGUUUCUUCUCAAAAGAAAGGAACCAUCACAAGAUGCUCCAGAAGACAUGAAUUGGGAGGAGGAGAUUCAAUAUGAUCCAGGCAAGAGGAAAUUGAUAGAACAUUAUCAUCCAAAUUUGAAAGACUUGGUAAGAAGAAAGUAUUUGCUUAAUGAACCUUGUCAGCCAAAAGAUAUCGAUUUUCCAUAUUCAAACUUUGGGACUAAGAGGAGAAGGUUCAAUCCUGAAUGGUUUGAUGAUCAUGAGAGUUGGGAUCGUGGCCACAAGAAAGAAGCUGGGUAUGAGGCAUUUGUUCUGAAUGGUUGGGAUACCUGUAGCGUUCCAUCAAGGCUAAAAGAUCAUGUUUGCGAGCCAGGUAGUGUCCAUGAUCAAGCAAUGAAAAAUGUACCGCUCUACUAA
rnacentral:rRNA from 1 species